AUCGCAGCGCCCCUCGGGGCUUCUCCGGGCGCCCAGACGCUGGUUGGGGGAAGGAGAGCGGGGGCAACAAGAAGACGCUUUUCAGUCUCCCUUGGAGAGGACUGCUUGGCUAAGAGGGAGUCUGCGGUCGGUGCCUUCGUGGAUCCGACGCCGGGUGGCCUACGUACAUCUGUUUCC